rnacentral:tRNA from 1 species
GGGGAAAUAGCUCAGUGGUAAAGCAUAUGUUUAGCAUGCUUGGGGGCCUGAGUUCAAUCUCCAGUAUCUCCA